GCUCAUAGUAUAUAGUGUUGUGUACACACUCCCGCUGAUCCCACAUAUAUAUAAGUGGUUAGGUAAUUUUAACUAGUAGAGUUUCAUGAACUCAACCACAUAUUUUGCACAUCAGUAUAACAGAAUUAUUAAGAUAAGUGGUAACUCAAUAAUAUUAUGAAACCCCAUGUAUGUAUCUUUUAUCAAUGGCAGAGAUUAUUAAGAGUGGAGUUUCAUAGUUAAUCACAUAUUCGGCAUUUAGAAUUAAGGAGAAUGUAAAUUUUCAUUUAAGAAUUUUAUAACACAAGAUCUCCUUUUUACGAUUAAAAUUUCAAAGAAUUUUAUAAAUACAGUAACUUUUAUAUGACAAAGUAUGAUGAUUACAUAAAAGGUUUAUCAUCAUAUGAGUGAGAUAAGUCUCUAGUAUUAUAAAAUAAGAUAUGUGACUCUAUUCAUAAUUUUAGUAACCCUCUCAAAACUCAAAUGCUACAAUUAUAAUCACACACAUUUGAGAAAAGAUUAGGUUACAUGCAGCGGAAAUACACGAGACUUAUAUAUUAUAUUAUUAUUGAGGAUAUAAGAGAAAAUAGUCAUAAACUUCCAUAAGUAUUAAAGAAUAGCAAUAAUAUAAGAUAUGUCUAAAUAUAGUAAAACGGUAAAAUAAAAUAUGUCAAAUAUACCAUUUAUAAUUAUUUAGAAUAG
rnacentral:lncRNA from 1 species